UGAGCCCCUAUCAUGUUUGGGGCCCAGAAACAGAGAGGAAGAACAGACAGAAGAUGGAGGGUAGUGAGCAGGCAGGAGUGGCAGGAAACAGACACCCCCACCCUAGUAGCCUAGGAGACUGUGAAGAGGGUAAAGAUAAGUGUGUGUGUGUGUGUGUGUGUGUGUGUGUGUGUGUGUGUCCGGUUGUGUCCUAGUGGAGGUGGCAUUUGAGUUAAGCCUUGAAAAAUCAGGAGCAUUGGGUAGGUACAGAAGUGGGGAGCACUCUCCAGGUAAGGGGGACAGCCAAGCGGGAUGUUGGAAGUGCCAGCCCAGAAGGAGAAACAGAGUGACCCGGUAUUUCUUCCCUCUCUCACCUGGGUAGCAAGCUACUGGGAUGGGGUGAAAUACCUGGUCCUUUGUGCACCCCCCCUCCCCAGUCAGGUCUGCAGCCUGAGGCAGGUGCUGGUGGGCUCCUGAGAGAGGCUGCAGAGGUGGGGGAGUUGGGGUGAGGCUGCAUCUCCAGUCCUUGCUGCUCCUGGGCCUGUAAUGGGGGUUCCAUUCUCCUUGCUGCUCUCAGAAGCUCCAACAACUGACCUUUUCUCUUACUAACCUAGUUGGCCCAGGAACUCCUGGGUCUGAGCAAAACCCCUGUUAUUGGUAAGUGCCAGGCAUUCCACAGAGGUCUCACUGCCUGUGGGAGGGCCCCAGGCUUCAGGCUGGGCAGCAGGGCCCUACCUUAGACCAGGUGAAUAUGCAGAGGGCCCCAAGGAGGGAGAGAGCGGAGGGAGAUGGAGGGGCAGGCCACCCCUCUAGGCGGGCACGGGAAAGGCCUGAGUCAGGCUUCUCAUAAUAAACUGCAUGUGAAUAAUUCAGCAGCCAUGCGGGGGCUCAUUGCAUUAGCACUGCCACCCACACCGCCCCUCCCGCGAGUAGUUCCAGCUGAGGGAAGUGGGGGACUCACUGACAUGCCUGAGGAGGGGAGCCAGGAUAGAAGACCACCCUGCUCGCUUGUAUCCUGAAUUUUCCCCGGGCCAAGUCCCACAAGACUCCCUGGUCCUGGAACCUUUGGGGCCCCACUGAUCAGAGGGCCACCUGCUGGGCAGUGCUGUCCCAGCUAAGCCGCCCUCAAGACCCCCAGCAAGAGAAGACUAGGCCACGGGACCAAGGCCAGACUAAGGGAGGCGCUGGGGAGGAGGGGUUCAGACUUGCGGGAACCAACUGCCCUAGUGCCCAACCGCACAGAGAACAUGGGCAAUGUGGCUCUAAGCAAAGUGGAGAAGGCAGGCUCAGACCUGUGCUCAGAGCACGGAUGCUGUGGGGCUGUUUUGUACGGGCCCGGAUUUUCCUUGCUAUCGAAGUGAAGCUCCGGGGAAGUCACAGGACCCUCCACCCACUCUGGACCCCCAAGUUCCCUGGCCUCUGACUCUGCAUCUCCCCGACCGGCGAAUCCAGUUCUGGCUGUGCCAGCCGCUGGUGUUGCCGGGCCCUGCGCUCACCAGGGCGAGGAGCGGAGCCUCAGGUUACUGGGCCUGGGAGAGAGGCUAAGUGCAUAACGCCCGCAGUCUUAUUUCGUUUGAGCGGAACCAGUUCCCUUUGGCUUUUCCAUUUCCGGCUUGUUCCCGUGUUCCUGAUCUUGAGGGAUCACCUUCCUUCCAUUUCACAUCUACUGCUGCUUAUUUCCUCCAGCUCUUCCCCACGUACCUUCACUUCCAUUAGGUCGACCCACCCUCUUUUCAGCAGCCCGCUCCUAUUCCCAGGGAGCCUCCCUCGCAGCCCCUACCUGGUGAACUUUGGUGGAGACCCUCGCACUGGCUCCGCUGGCCCUCCCUGGGCUGGCGCGGACAGGGACCCCAGCCUGGUCUUCACCAGUGUCCCAGGCAGCCAGACCAGAAGCCCCACUGAAGGCCGCUUUUGUGCCCCUCCCCUGCGCCGCCCUCCCCGUCAUCUCGAAGAAUCUUCGUCUUCGGCCGCUGCUUCCUCCUCUACACAUUCUUUCUCAUUCGUUUUUUCUUCGUUUGGUAAGUGCGGUCUGCCGCAGCACCUGGCCCCUGGGGAUGCCUGGGUUUACUCUGCCCCUCUUGAGGCCUCAGCUGGGGCUCUGGGUUCGUGGCUAAACUUCGAACAGCUUUCACAGCAGGGCGGCUCGGGUGACUCCGAAGAGGCAGAUGAGAUGGGCUAAUGGCACCUUGACUUCAGAUGGCCCCACCACCGGCGGGUUGUGUGAUCUUGGUUGACGGGGUGCCAGGUGUUAGAAACCUCUCCAAUCCUGACCACGUCUCCGUUUUACCUAAGAGAAACUGAGGUUAAGAUCGCGACGCACUGGUCAGCGCCACAGGUAAACGAUUUUGGUGGCUCCCAGAGAAGGAUGCAAAUAAGACCCAAAUGAGGGGCUUCCGGCGUGUUAUGGGAAAGCCCCGGGGGUUGGACCAGGAGGGCAACUUUUCUCAACGUAGAAGCCAUCGCUCCCCGAUUUUACCUCCUUCGAGUCUGUCCAUCCGGUCAUAAGUCUGUCAGGCCUGUGGGGCCUACGUCCCCGCUAGUCCUGGACGGAAGGGGAGAAUGCGCAUGGCCCUACCCAGGGCAGAAGUAUGGUCAGUCGAUCCUUCCCCUUUCCCGGAGUGCCUCUAAGUUAGAGUCAUCCUAGCUGCAGAGAGGGGACUGGCUGCGGGGGGCGCAGGGUUGGGCAGGCUGGAGGCCGGGGCCUGGGAUCCCCUGGCCGGGCCGGGAGAGGCUGGAAUCCGGCUCCCAGGUGACCCCAUCCCUAGUUCCCGCUGCAAAGUCGCCCGGUGGCAACCCCGACAGACCACGCGUCCCUCGACACAAGUCCCAUUACAUUGUAUUUAUGUUUCACUUUAUUGUUUUUUUUUCCCCUCUCUUAUUAUUGUCUCACUCUGGGGGAGGCAAAGGAUAUAAUAUAUUCAUCUUUAUUAUAC